rnacentral:rRNA from 1 species
GAGUUCAUAUCGACGGCGGUGUUUGGCACCUCGAUGUCGGCUCAUCACAUCCUGGGGCUGAAGUAGGUCCCAAGGGUAUGGCUGUUCGCCAUUUAAAGUGGUACGCGAGCUGGGUUUAGAACGUCGUGAGACAGUUCGGUCCCUAUCUGCCGUGGGCGCUGGAGAAUUGAGGGGGGCUGCUCCUAGUACGAGAGGACCGGAGUGGACGCAUCACUGGUGUUCGGGUUGUCAUGCCAAUGGCACUGCCCGGUAGCUAAAUGCGGAAGAGAUAAGUGCUGAAAGCAUCUAAGCACGAAACUUGCCCCGAGAUGAGUUCUCCCUGACUCCUUGAGAGUCCUGAAGGAACGUUGAAGACGACGACGUUGAUAGGCCGGGUGUGUAAGCGCAGCGAUGCGUUGAGCUAACCGGUACUAAUGAACCGUGAGGCUUAACCUUACAACGCCGAAG